AAAUAGACGUACCCGGGUAGUCCACGCCGUAAACGAUGGAUGCUAGCUGUUAGAGGGUAUCGACCCCUCUAGUAGCGAAGCUAACGCGUUAAGCAUCCCGCCUGUGGAGUACGGUCGCAAGACUAAAACAUAAAGGAAUUGACGGGGACCCGCACAAGCGGUGGAGCGUGUUGUUUAAUUCGAUGGUAAACGAAGAACCUUACCCAGGCUUGACAUCCUUGGAAUUUUUCCGAAAGGAAAGAGUGCUUUAUUGAGCCAAGUGACAGGUGUUGCAUGGCCGUCGUCAGCUCGUGUCGUGAGAUGUUUGGUUAAGUCCAUCAACGAGCGCAACCCUUGUGAUUAGUUGAAUUUUUCUAAUCAGACUGCCCUGGCAACAGGGAGGAAGGGGGGGUAUGAUGUCAGGUCAGUAUUACCCUUACGUCUGGGGCUACAAACACGCUACAAUGGCCGGUACAAAGGGCAGCCAAAGCGCAAGCUGGAGCAAAUCCCAUCAAAGCCGGUCUCAGUUCGGAUUGGAGGCUGAAACUCGCCUCCAUGAAGUCGGAAUCG
rnacentral:rRNA from 1 species